rnacentral:rRNA from 1 species
UACGUAGGGCGCAAGCGUUAUCCGGAAUUAUUGGGCGUAAAGAGCUCGUAGGCGGUUUGUCGCGUCUGCCGUGAAAGUCCGGGGCUUAACCCCGGAUCUGCGGUGGGUACGGGCAGACUAGAGUGAUGUAGGGGAGACUGGAAUUCCUGGUGUAGCGGUGAAAUGCGCAGAUAUCAGGAGGAACACCGAUGGCGAAGGCAGGUCUCUGGGCAUUAACUGACGCUGAGGAGCGAAAGCAUGGGGAGCGAACAGG